rnacentral:rRNA from 1 species
AGGGCAGACGGCGGAUGCCUUGGCUCUAAGAGGCGAUGAAGGACGUGACAAGCUGCGAUAAGCUGUGGGGAUUGGCACAUACGACGUGAUCCACAGAUUUCCGAAUGGGGCAACCCAGUAGGUUUAACAGCCUACUACAUGCUAUGCAUGAGCAAACGUGGGGAACUGAAACAUCUAAGUACCCAUAGGAGAAGAGAACAAUUUAGUGAUUCCCUUAGUAGUGGCGAUCGAACGGGGACGAGCCCAAACCAUUCUUGUUUCGGCAAGAGUGGGGUUGUAGGACUACAACAUGUUACAGGCGGUAACGUGCAGAAGUGAGCUGGAAAGCUCCACCAUAGAGGGUGAUAGUCCCUUAUGCGAAGUGAAGGCUUGGCUAGUAGUAUCCUGAGUAGUGCGGGACACGUGCAAUCCUGUACGAAUCUGGGGGGUCCAUCCCCCAAGGCUAAAUACUCCUUAGAGACCGAUAGUGAACGAGUACUGUGAAGGAAAGGUGAAAAGCACCUCUAGUAGAGGAUUGAAAUAGACCCUGAAACCGUCUGCUUACAAGCGGUUGGAGCUCCAUUUUGGAGUGACAGCGUGCCUUUUGCAUAAUGAACCUACGAGUUACUAUAUAUAGCUAGGGUAAGAGCUUCAGGCUUGGAUCCGUAGCGAAAGCGAGUUUUAAAUGGCGAUAGAGUUAUAUAUAGUAGACGCGAAACCAAGUGAUCUACCCUUGACCAGGUUGAAGUUCAGGUAACACUGAAUGGAGGACCGCACGGCAGAAUGUUGAAAAAUUCCCCGAUGAGUUGAGGGUAGGGGUGAAAGGCUAAUCAAACUUGGAAAUAGCUCGUACUCCCCGAAAUGCAUUUAGGUGCAGCCUUAGAGUUUAAAUAUAAGAGGUAGAGCGACUGAUUGGAUGCGAGGGCUUCGCCGCCUAUCAAGUCCAGACAAACUCCGAAUGCUUAUAUGUACACUCUAGGAGUGAGGGCAUGGGUGCUAAGGUCCAUGUCCGAGAGGAGAAGAAUCCGGACCAUCUGCUAAGGUCCCGAAAUGACAGCUCAGUUGACUUAAACGAGGUCACGAUGCAUAGACAGCUAGGAUGUUGGCUUGGAAGCAGCCAUUCAUUUAAAGAGUGCGUAACAGCUCACUAGUCGAGGAUUGUGGCAUGGAUAAUAAUCGGGCAUAAGUUGUCUACCGAAGCAGUGGAAUCAUUUAUGAUUGGUAGGGGAGCAUUCCAGCGUGGUUGAAGAUAGAUCGACGAGGUCUGUUGGACAUUCUGGAAGUGCAAAUGUAGGUAUAAGUAACGAUAAAGGGAGUGAGAAUCUCCCUCGCCGAAAGACUAAGGUUUCCUCCUCACCGUUCGUCGGAGGAGGGUUAGUCGGGACCUAAGGGUAAUCCGUUUGGUGAUCUCGAUGGAAGAAAGGGUUAAUAUUCCCUUACUCGGUAUGUUAAGUGAUGUGGAGACGGAGAAGUGACAGUCCUGCCUACUGUUGGAAUAGUAGGUUAAAGGGUGUAGAUGUUGAUCUUGGUAGGCAAAUCCGCCGAGAGAGUCGAACCUGAUAGUAUGUGAAUCCUUCGGGUGCAGCAAUAUGGACGUAAGCAGGCUCCCAAGAAAAUCCGCUAAACGUUAAUAACAUAUCGACCCGUACCACAAACCGACACAGGUAGUUGGGUUGAGUAUACUAAGGCGCUCGAGUUAGCCGCGGUUAAGGAACUAGGCAAAUUGGUCCUGUAACUUCGGGAUAAAGGACGCCGUUGUGGCGACACAACGGCCGCAGAGAAUAAAUUGAAGCCCCAGUAAACGGCGGCCGUAACUAUAACGGUCCUAAGGUAGCGAAAUUCCUUGUCGGGUAAGUUCCGACCUGCACGAAUGGUGUAACGAUUUGGGCACUGUCUCGACCGCGCGCUCGGUGAAAUUGUAGUAUCGGUGAAGAUGCCGAUUACCCGCAAUGGGACGAAAAGACCCCGUGAACCUUUACUAUAGCUUUACAUUGCCUCUGGGUAUUAGAUGUGUAGGAUAGGCCGGAGACUUUGAAGGGUGCACGCUAGUGUGCCUGGAGUCGCUGUUGAAAUACGGCCCUUUUGAUAUUUGGAUGCUAACUUGCAGGAGCAAGGACAAUGUAUGGUGGGUAGUUUGACUGGGGUGGUCGCCUCCAAAAGAGUAACGGAGGCUUCUAAAGGUGCCCUCAGACCGAUUGGUAACCGGUCGUAGAGUGUAAUGGCAUAAGGGCGCUUGACUGGGAGACUUACAAGUCGCACAGGAAGGAAACUUGAGCAUAGUGAUCCGGUGGUUCCGCAUGGUAGGGCCAUCGCUCAAAGGAUAAAAGGUACUCCGGGGAUAACAGGCUGAUCGCUCCCAAGAGCUCAUAUCGACGGAGCGGUUUGGCACCUCGAUGUCGGC